GACGAACGCUGGCGGCGUGCUUAACACAUGCAAGUCGAACGGAAAGGCCCUGCUUUUGUGGGGUGCUCGAGUGGCGAACGGGUGAGUAACACGUAAGUAACCUGCCCUUGACUUUGGGAUAACUUCAGGAAACUGGGGCUAAUACCGGAUAGGAGCUCCUGCUGCAUGGGGGGGGUUGGAAAGUUUCGGCGGUUGGGGAUGGACUCGCGGCUUAUCAGCUUGUUGGUGGGGUAGUGGCUUACCAAGGCUUUGACGGGUAGCCGGCCUGAGAGGGUGACCGGCCACAUUGGGACUGAGAUACGGCCCAGGCUGCUACGGGAGGCAGCAGUGGGGAAUAUUGCACAAUGGGCGGAAGCCUGAUGCAGCAACGCCGCGUGCGGGAUGACGGCCUUCGGGUUGUAAACCGCUUUCGCCUGUGACGAAGCGUGAGUGACGGUAAUGGGUAAAGAAGCACCGGCUAACUACGUG
rnacentral:rRNA from 1 species